rnacentral:rRNA from 1 species
GCUCAGAACUUACAGGAAUUGACGGGGCCGCACAAGCGGAGGAGCAUGUGGUUUAAUUCGAUGAUACGCGAGGAACCUUACCUGGGCUCGAACGUAAGAUGACUGUAGGUGAAAGCUUACAUCUCUUCGGAGCAUUUUACGAGGUGCUGCAUGGUUGUCGUCAGCUCGUGCCGUGAGGUGUCGGGUUAAGUCCCAUAACGAGCGCAACCCCUACCUUUAGUUGCCAUCAGGUAAUGCUGGGGACUCUAAAGGAACUGCCUACGCAAGUAGUGAGGAAGGCGGGGAUGACGUCAAAUCAGCACGGCCCUUACGUCCAGGGCUACACACGUGCUACAAUGGCCGAUACAGAGGGCAGCUACCUGGUGACAGGAUGCAAAUCUCCAAAGUCGGUCUCAGUUCGGAUCGGAGUCUGCAACCCGACUCCGUGAAGUUGGAUUCGCUAGUAAUCGCGCAUCAGCCAUGGCGCGGUGAAUACGUUCCCGGGCCUU